ACCAGGAUCACUAAGAUAUUUUGGGCUGGGACUUGAGAAUGGUAAUUACAAUGUGACUCUCGAGUUUGCAGAGACAGCAUUCUUAGAUCCCCCAUCUUGGAAAAGUCAUGGAAGGCGUGUUUUUGAUAUAUACAUCCAGGGGAAUCUGGUUCAGAAAGAUUUCGACAUAAAAAAGGCUGCCGGUGGGGUCUCUUUACAAAUAAAGAUGGUUUUUCCAGCUGAGGUAUCAAAAAACUACCUUGAAAUCCAUCUAUUUUGGGCUGGUAAAGGGACUUGCUGUGUACCUACUGAAGGUACAUAUUGACCUUCUAUUUCAGCAAUCAGCGCUAUCCCAGAUUUCGUCCCCACUGUUGGUAAAAACCCUUCAUCUGGCAAAAAGAGUAAGACAGGUUUGAUUGUGGCGAUUGUUAUUCCUGUUGGAGUUGUAAGCUUUCUAUCUUUCCUUGUGCUCUAUUGGUUUGACUUUUGCCGAAAAGGGCCGGGAUGGCACGACGAUGAAGGUAAAAAUACUCAGGAAAAUAGUAAGCCGAGUGUAUAAUUGGGCUAUGACUUUUGCAUCACAACAGAUUCGUUGUUGUCCCGUGUGUGGUUCUGCUAUUGUUUAUUUGUAAUGUCGUUUUAGAUGUAUGGGUCCUAUGCUAGUUAUUUUUGUGUUCUUAGUAGCGUUAGGCUCACUAAAUUCUUUUUGUCUGAUUCAUGGCAUGUUCAGACAUGAUGGAGGUAUCUGUAAAUGUUCUCUUAAACACUCCCCUUUCUAGCCAACCAGCAAUCCUAUGAUAAAGCAGCCCAUCCCUCCCCUUUCUUUCUCACCAUCGAGUACCUGAAAUCCUCUGGUUUU